rnacentral:rRNA from 1 species
AUACGUAGGUGGCAAGCGUUGUCCGGAAUUAUUGGGCGUAAAGCGCGCGCAGGCGGUCCUUUAAGUCUGAUGUGAAAGCCCACGGCUCAACCGUGGAGGGUCAUUGGAAACUGGGGGACUUGAGUGCAGAAGAGGAAAGUGGAAUUCCAAGUGUAGCGGUGAAAUGCGUAGAGAUUUGGAGGAACACCAGUGGCGAAGGCGACUUUCUGGUCUGUAACUGACGCGGAGGCGCGAAAGCGUGGGGAGCAAACAGGAUUAGAUACCCCGGUAGUCCACGCCGUAAACGAUGAGUUCUAAGUGUUAGGGGGUUUCCGCCCCUUAGUGCUGCAGCUAACGCAUUAAGCACUCCGCCUGGGGAGUACGGUCGCAAGACUGAAACUCAAAUGAAUUGACGGGU